GAUGAACGCUGGCGGCGUGCCUAAUACAUGCAAGUCGUGCGAACAGACGAGGGGCUUGCUCCUCUGACGUUAGCGGCGGACGGGUGAGUAACACGUGGAUAACCUACCUAUAAGACUGGGAUAACUUCGGGAAACCGGAGCUAAUACCGGAUAAUAUAUUGAACCGCAUGGUUCAAUAGUGAAAGACGGUUUUGCUGUCACUUAUAGAUGGAUCCGCGCCGCAUUAGCUAGUUGGUAAGGUAACGGCUUACCAAGGCAACGAUGCGUAGCCGACCUGAGAGGGUGAUCGGCCACACUGGAACUGAGACACGGUCCAGACUCCUACGGGAGGCAGCAGUAGGGAAUCUUCCGCAAUGGGCGAAAGCCUGACGGAGCAACGCCGCGUGAGUGAUGAAGGUCUUCGGAUCGUAAAACUCUGUUAUUAGGGAAGAACAAAUGUGUAAGUAACUAUGCACGUCUUGACGGUACCUAAUCAGAAAGCCACGGCUAACUACGUG
rnacentral:rRNA from 1 species